rnacentral:misc_RNA from 1 species
UCCGGUUUAACACCGGCAGUCUCCAUAGAGUGCCCAACUAAAUGAUGGCAACUAGGGAUAAGGGUUGCGCUCGUUAAGGGACUUAACCCGACAUCUCACGAUACGAGCUGACGACAGCCAUGCAGCACCUAAACCACGGACUCCCGAAGGAGAAAAGAUAUCUCUACCUCUGUCCCGUGUUGUCUAACCCAGGUAAGGUUCUUCGCGUUGCAUCGAAUUAAACCACAUGCUCCACCGCUUGUGCGGGCCCCCGUCAAUUCCUUUGAGUUUUAACCUUGCGGCCGUACUUCCCAGGCGGAGUACUUAAUGCGUUAGCUGCGGCACUGUAGGGGUCAAUUCCCACAACACCUAGUACUCAUCGUUUACAGCGUGGACUAC